rnacentral:rRNA from 1 species
GUGGGGAAUAUUGGGCAAUGGGCGAAAGCCUGACCCAGCAACGCCGCGUGAGGGAAGAAGGCCUUCGGGUUGUAAACCUCUGUCCUUGGUGACGAAAAAAAUGACGGUAGCCAAGGAGGAAGCCCCGGCUAACUACGUGCCAGCAGCCGCGGUAAUACGUAGGGGGCGAGCGUUGUCCGGAAUUACUGGGCGUAAAGGGUGCGUAGGUGGCCUUUUAAGUUGGAUGUGAAAUACCCGGGCUUAACUUGGGGGGUGCAUCUAAUACUGGGAGGCUAGAGUGCAGGAGAGGGAAGCGGAAUUCCUAGUGUAGCGGUGAAAUGCGUAGAUAUUAGGAGGAACACCAGUGGCGAAGGCGGCUUUCUGGACUGUAACUGACACUGAGGCACGAAAGCGUGGGGAGCAAACAGGAUUAGAAACCCCGGUAGUCC